rnacentral:tRNA from 1 species
GGGGCGGUAGCUCAGUUGGGAGAGCGUAGCGUUCGCAAUGCUAAGGUCGAGGGUUCAAAUCCCUUCCGCUCCA